AGUGAACGCUGGCGGUAGGCCUAACACAUGCAAGUCGAACGGCAGCACAGUAAGAGCUUGCUCUUACGGGUGGCGAGUGGCGGACGGGUGAGGAAUACAUCGGAAUCUACUUUUUCGUGGGGGAUAACGUAGGUAAACUUACUCUAAUACCGCAUACGACCUACGGGUGAAAGCAGGGGAUCUUCUGACCUUGCGCGAUUGAAUGAGCCGAUGUCGGAUUAGCUAGUUGGCGGGGUAAAGGCCCACCAAGGCGACGAUCCGUAGCUGGUCUGAGAGGAUGAUCAGCCACACUGGAACUGAGACACGGUCCAGACUCCUACGGGAGGCAGCAGUGGGGAAUAUUGGACAAUGGGCGCAAGCCUGAUCCAGCCAUACCGCGUGGGUGAAGAAGGCCUUCGGGUUGUAAAGCCCUUUUGUUGGGAAAGAAAAGCAGCAGGUUAAUAACCCGCUGUUCUGACGGUACCCAAAGAAUAAGCACCGGCUAACUUCGUG
rnacentral:rRNA from 1 species